AGUAAUAAUAUUGAGACAGUGAUAUUGGGAAAUCAUUUGUAUGACAUCCAGACACAGUAUUAACCCUCUCAGUCUCGUCAAGAUCAACAAAAGGCUAAUAUUGAUUAAUGAGUCUAAUAAGUAGAUCAUGAUUGUUUUCAUUGCUAAUCUGCGUAUUUAUGUAGAGGUUGCCAUGAGACAAACUACAUCCGAAAUGAGGCAAGAGUGAAGUUACAGGAACACAACAAUUAAUAAUGAAGACAUGCCUGUUCUAUCGCUAAUGGAAUUUCCCUAAAGUACCUGUUUCGAGGAGUCAAGUGCUGGAAGUCUGCUUUCAUGAUGACAUUUGCUGUACUUGCCAUAAUGCUUUUGGUUACUGUGCCUGAAACUCACUCUGGCCGUCACUAUCAUGGAAGCUUCUCUGACAGUGAUGAGAGGUUCUAUCUUGCCCCGAUCCCAACAUUUCACUGGUAUCAACCGAGGCCAGUGCCACCCCGACUUCAGUUCCCUCUCUGGCCCUUCUUCCCUGGGUUACUGCCCCAGCCGGCCCCUGCUCCUAUCCCAGCACCAAGGCCUGGACCAAGUCCGGGCCAGACCACCACUGCCCCUGCCACAACUAGUAAAAGGGGAGAUAACGGAUAAACAGGACCCAUCUCAGAACCGGACCAAUACCAACCCAAUGGAUCUUAUUUUGGACUAUAUGUUUUUAUUCUAAAAUCACAAUGGUACAUUCAAUAACAACAUAUUAUACUUUAUUCAUUAAAUAUUCUGGGUGAAA